CCAAAAUUACAGUAGCCCAGUUGCACUUUGACUAGAAAGUCCCUUUGUCAGCUGUUUCAGUACAUUCUGUGACAUUUAGAAAUAAUUUAGGUGGCUGUGUUGGGUGUGUACAAUUAGUAAGUGAUGGAAUGAGUUGAAGCAGAUUCAAUACAGUGAGCUGGUUUCUUACCUCCAAACUUAAUUUGUGACCAAAUAAUUGAUUGCUGGGAGGGGAAGAAAACUAAUUCCUUCAUUUUAUUUCCCAAAGUGAAGGCAUUGGAGUCUUUCAGCAAUCUUCUAAACAAAGUCUGUUUGAUUCAUGUAAGAUGUCUCAUGGUGGGCCAUUUACAGAAGAGAAAGUGGAAGAUGUGAAAGCUCUGGUCAAGAUUGUCCCUGUUUUCUUGGCUUUGAUACCUUACUGGACAGUGUAUUUCCAAGUGAGUGGUGACAAACAGGUUUAAUUUCCUUUAUCUUCCUAUGAAGUCUUACCCUAGCACUUGUUUUGGCCAUUUCUAAAGUAGUUAGGACUAGGUGAUUUUUUUUCCCAUGAGUCUACAGAAUCUUGGAAUUUUUGGUUUUAGUUAUGGAGUCAUUUUGGCUGCUUUAACUAUGUUUAAAGCCUCUCUGAAAAAGAAGCUGAGAACAGGUACGCUUCAGGCCCCUCUUGUUAAUGUAAUUUCUCCUUUGGAUAACUGGCCAUUCUUUUUCAAAAUUGAUCUCCAGAGGACUUUACGAUGACCAAAUCAUUGACCUGUCUGUUUUCAAACUUGAGCCAUUGUCUGUUUCUGGGAGUCACUGUGUGUCGCAUCUGAGUCUAGCUUAGGGGAGGGGCAGGAUGCUUAGAGUGUUUGAGAGCACAGUUGGUCCACAUAUAAUGAUACUGUUUUUUAUACCUAGAUGCAGACAACAUAUGUUUUACAGAGUCUUCAUUUGAGGAUUCCAGAAAUUUCAAAUAUUACAACCACUCCUCACACGCUCCCUGCAGCCUGGCUGACCAUGUUUGAUGCUGUGCUCAUCCUCCUGCUCAUCCCUCUGAAGGACAAACUGGUCGAUCCCAUUUUGAGAAGACAUGGCCUGCUCCCAUCCUCCCUGAAGAGGAUCGCCGUGGGCAUGUUCUUUGUCAUGUGCUCGGCCUUUGCUGCAGGAAUUUUGGAGAGUAAAAGGCUGAACCUUGUUAAAGAGAAAACCAUUAAUCAGACCAUCGGCAACGUUGUCUACCAUGCUGCCGAUCUGUCGCUGUGGUGGCAGGUGCCGCAGUACUUGCUGAUUGGGAUCAGCGAGAUCUUUGCAAGUAUCGCAGGCCUGGAAUUUGCAUACUCAGCUGCCCCCAAGUCCAUGCAGAGUGCCAUAAUGGGCUUGUUCUUUUUCUUCUCUGGCGUCGGGUCGUUCGUGGGUUCUGGACUGCUGGCACUGGUGUCUAUCAAAGCCAUCGGAUGGAUGAGCAGUCACACAGACUUUGGUAAUAUUAACGGCUGCUAUUUGAACUAUUACUUUUUUCUUCUGGCUGCUAUUCAAGGAGCUACCCUCCUGCUUUUCCUCAUUAUUUCUGUGAAAUAUGACCAUCAUCGAGACCAUCAGCGAUCAAGAGCCAAUGGCGUGCCCACCAGCGGGAGGGCCUGACCUUCCUGAGGCCAUGUGCGGUU
rnacentral:sRNA from 1 species